CCUUACUAUAUUUAGAAUAGUGGUCGAUCCUUCGGGAGUUACAUUCGUAACUUAAUGUAAUGUUAUGUUCACGCGGUGAUAUUCUAUCUUUCCAAGAGUACUACCCUGUACGUAGUCUAUGUCUGGGGAGCAUACUUGACAGGAGAUAGACACAGGCGGUAGAGGGGUCCCCCACUUCGAUUCCCGCCCCGUUAGCAUCUACGAUCCUAGAUAAGGGAUUAGUCCGUUAGGUCUUUUCGGUCCGGAGCCGGCUGGUAAUGGACCUACUUACCUUGCUUGUAGACCUGCUGCGGAGCUAACCCUUGUUCUAUUGGUUUGGUGGUUGAGCGGGUGGCUGAGCGUUAUCGCGAGCUAAUUUUGCCACUGAAUAUUCCAUUUUCGUUAGAGAAAUCGUUAGUAUCGUCAGUUGGUGCUUUGGAGUUUGCUAAGCAGUUCUUCGUACGCGGAGUGACUAAGGGCUUUUUUCCUGUCUCCUCUCACAUGUUAAGAUCCUUAGUUAGUUCCAUAUCCCUUGUUCCUGUAAUGAGGGCUAUUAUGUCUAAGGAUCUUCCAUUGUCGUAUCGUUUACGGGAAGCUGGGUACCGAGUGUAUACUCGACGCACGGCGCCUCCUAGGAGACACUGGAAUCGGCAUUUCCUGAGGCGAGCUUUCAGAAGCUCAAGACAACUUUGACUGUGGUGCUAGUGAUUGUUUUUCCUACAGGUUCAGGGCCAUAUAUAGUAUAUUGUGAUGCAUCUCGUAUUGGACUUGGUGAGGUGUUGACGCAGAAUGGUGAGGUUAUUGCAUAUUUUUCGUGAUAGUUGAAGAUUCACGAGAAGAAUUAUCCAGUUCAUGAUUUGGAGCUAGCAGCCAUUGUUCACGCGCUGAAGAAUUGGAGGCACUAUUUAUAUGGCGUGUCGUGUGAGCUUUUCACGGAUCACAAGAGUCUACAAUAUGUGUUCAAACAGAAGAAACUAAACUUGAGGAAGAGGAGGUGGUUGGAGCUGAUGAAAGACUAUGAUAUCACCAUCUUGUGUCAUCCGGGGAAGUCCAAUGUAGUGGCUGAUGCUUUGAGUAGGAAGUCAGCAAGUAUGGGCAGCGAUGCGUAUAUUCCACUCACUGAGUGACCGCUUGCUUUGGAAGUUCAGGCUUUAGCCAAUCAGUUCGUGAGAUUGGAUGUUUCUGAGCCCAGCCGUGUUUUAGCUUGUAUAGUCACUUGGUCUUCAUUAUUUGGGCAUAUCAGGGAUCGAUAUUAUGACGAUAUUCACUAGCUAGUCUUUAGAGACACAGUGCGGCACGGUAGUGCCCAGCAGGUUACAGUUGGAGAUGAUGGAGUUUUGAGGAUGUAGGGUCGAGUUUGUGUGCCUAAUAUGGAUGGACCUCGUGAGUUGAUUCUAGAAGAGGCCCACAGUGCCUGAUAUUCUAUUCAUCUGGGAACUGCGAAGACGUAUCAGGAUUUGCGGCAGCAUUAUUGGUGGAGGAGGAUGAACAAAGAUGUUGUUGCAUAUGUAGCUCUGUGUUUGAAUCGUCAGCAGGUAAAGUACGAGUAUCAUAUACCUGGUGGUUUGCUUUAGAAGAUUGAGAAUUCUGAGUGGAAGUGGGAGCAUAUCACUAUGGAGUUCAUUGUUAGACUCCCACAGACUUAGACGAAGUCCGAUGCGAUUUGGGUUAUUGUUGAUAUGCUGACUAAGUCAGCGUAUUUCAUUCCUCUGGUGGUCUCUUAUUCUUCAAAGAAGUUAGCUGAGAUCUAUAUCCGGGAGAUUUUCAUCUUUAUGGUUUGCGCGUGUCUAUUAUUUCUAACCAAGGUACAUAGUUUGCCUCGUAUUUCUAGAGGGCAGUUCGGUGUAAGUUGGGUACACGGGUCGAGUUGACCACAACAUUUCAUCAUCAGAAGGACGGACAGUCCGAGCGUACUAUUUAGAUUUUGGAGGAUAUGCUUCGCGCCUAUGAUAUUGAUUUUGGAGGUUCUUGGGAUCAUUUCUUGCCAUUAGCGAAGUUUUCCUACAAUAAAACCUAUCAAUCAAGCAUCCAGAUGGCUCCAUAUUAGGAAUUAUAUGGUAGACGGUGUUGAUCGCCAAUUGGAUAGUUUGAGCGGGAAGAGGCUCAGUUGUCGGGUACAUAUUUAGUAUAGAUUGCCUUGGACAUGGUUAAGAUCAGUCAGGAUAGUCUUCGUACAACUCAAUCCAGGAAAAAGAUUUAUGUUGAUCAUAAGGUUCGCGAUGUGUCAUUCAUGUUUAGAGAGUGAGUGUUGCUUCGGGUGACACCCAUCAAGGGCGUGAUGAUAUUUGGGAAGAAGGGCAAGCUAAGCCAUAAAUUCAUUGAACCUUUUGAGAUUCGUGAUCGAGUGAGAGAGGUGGCUUACAGACUUGCGUUGCCUCCGAGUUUAUCAGUUGUGCGUCCAGUGUUUCAUGUGGCCAUGCUUCAGAAGUGGGACGGAGAUCCAUCCCACGUGUUAGACUUCAACACUGUAUAGUUGGACAAGUACUUGACUUAUGAGGAGAAGCCGAUAGCUAUUCUAGACUGGCAGGUUCGUUAGCUGAAAUUGAAGAAGUUCCUUUCAGUUCGUGUGCAGUGAAGAGGUCAUCCUUUUGAGGUAGCGACUUGGAAGUUCGAGUCCAACAUGCGGAUCCAAUAUCCCCAUCUUUUCACCAGCUCAUGUACUUUUCUAUGUCCGUUCGAGGACGAUUAGUUGUUUUAGAGGUGAAGAAUGUGAUGACCCAAAGGGUCUUCUUUUGUUUUAUAAUACGAAUCCUGGUUCUGAGGCCUUGAAAAUCUCAUUAUCUUCCUCCUCGAUUUCCAUGCGUAGUCCGGGCGCAUUUCCGGAAAGCUUUUAUGUGAAUUUAUAAGAAAAUUAGAAAUUUGCUUUUAAAAUUGAUUGAAGUUGACUUUGGUCAAUUUUUUGGGUAAAAAGAUCCGGAGCCAUUAUUUUGUGGUCCCGGAGGGUCCAUAGUAAAAUAUGAAACAUGGACGUAAGCCCGAAAUCGAAUUCCGAGGUCCCUAGCCCGAGAAAUUAUUUUUUAAAGAAAAUCAUUUGCUGGAAAAUAUAAGUACUUUUGGAAAUUAAAUGGUGUGUUAUCUUGAUGGUAUCAUGCUAAUAUUUAGGUUUUGGACCCCAAAACAAGUUUAAUAUAAUAUUUAAGUCAUAUCUGUGAAAUUUUGUGAGAAUUAGAGUUGAUUUUACGUGAUUCGGAUGUCGUGUUGUGAAAAUAGUAAAUUUGAAGUUUUCUUGAGGAAAAUCAUGAGUUGAGGUUAAAUUCGUAGUUGUUGAUGCUAUUUUGAUGAUUUGAUUGCACGAGCAAGUCUAUAUGGUAUUUUUAGACUUGCGUGCAUAUUUGGUUUGGAGCCCCAAGGGCUCGGGUCAGUUUUAAAUAGGCUGGAGAGUGAUUAGAACUUAGGAAAACUCAGCUAUGCAUCUAGUAUUUUGCACAGGCCUCUGAUCUCACAAAUGCGAGAUCUGGCUUCACAAAUGUGAAGUCUACCGGCCUGGGAAAUGCGACAAUAUUCUCGCAAAUACGAAGAAGACUUGGAAAGGCCAACUUCACAAAUGUGAAUUUUUGGACGAAAUUGCGAAGGCCCAGAGGUCGCAAAUUCGACAUAUAUAUCCCAAAUGUGAAGGCAGUAGAAUUCAAAGGG
rnacentral:lncRNA from 1 species